ACGAAUCCUACUCGAUGUGUAGAAUAUAAUUUUCAAAUAAAAUUCUAGAUUUGACCCUUUUCAAAAAUAAUUUUUUUUUUUGGAUAAUUUUACCCCCGAUUUUGAAACCUAUCAAUAUGGGUGUCAUUGGACUCCUUGUGAUGUGUAUGUUUCAUUGUUGAUAGUGGAUUGUCAUUUCGGGCGCUGAAUUCGAGAUUUGCUUGUCCGGUGGAGGUAUUCGGGUGCGGUUUCGGCAAUUGAGGAUCUGACAAGCAUCACACACAUCCCACUCAUGGCUAAAGUUGAGCUUUACUUCUAUAUAGUUGGUCACGACGCGCCAUAUCACACCUAUUGUUAGUACUUGGAUCUUAUCGGCGUAGUUUUGGUUGGUGAGUCAUCAUGCUUCGAGGAUACAACCAUCUUAUGAUGUCUUUUAUUUCAUAUUGC